GCCGCUGUGGUGAAAUUGGUAUACACGUACGUUUCAGAAGCGUAUGCCGAAAGGUGUGGAGGUUCGACUCCUCUCAGCGGCA
rnacentral:tRNA from 1 species